GUUACCCUACGGGAGGCAGCAGUGGGGAAUAUUGCGCAAUGGGCGAAAGCCUGACGCAGCAACGCCGCGUGAGUGAUGACGGCCUUCGGGUUGUAAAGCUCUGUCUUCAGGGACGAUAAUGACGGUACCUGAGGAGGAAGCCACGGCUAACUACGUGCCAGCAGCCGCGGUAAUACGUAGGUGGCGAGCGUUGUCCGGAUUUACUGGGCGUAAAGGGAGCGUAGGCGGACUUUUAAGUGAGAUGUGAAAUACUCGGGCUCAACUUGAGUGCUGCAUUUCAAACUGGAAGUCUAGAGUGCAGGAGG
rnacentral:rRNA from 1 species